rnacentral:rRNA from 1 species
AUGGUUUUGUGGCGUGGGUUGUUGCAUAUAACAUCUUCUAUAUCGUUUGCUGGUAGAAAGGAUGUUAUUGUCCUGAGAUAUUAUCUUCUGGGAUUAUGGUGUACAGCUCCUGCUCUGUUGCAAUCUGAAAUUCCCAGCAGGUUUCAUGUGUUUAUAGGGUUUCUUAGCCCCAAUAGGCAGUGUGAUAGGCACGACCUUGUUGGUGAUAUAUCUCAAUUGUUCUUUGAAUGCCCUUUGGCCAAGCUGUGGUGGCCUAAACUUUCUAAAUUAGUUGAAAUUAGUGUGGGCAUAUUGCUAAACGUCGGUUCAGUAGUAACAAGAAUAGAUACGGUUGUUGCCUUUUGGUUGUUGGUUUCAGUUUCUGCUCUAGCAGAGUAG